UACGAAGGGGGCUAGCGUUGUUCGGAAUCACUGGGCGUAAAGCGCACGUAGGCGGAUCUUUAAGUCAGGGGUGAAAUCCCGAGGCUCAACCUCGGAACUGCCUUUGAUACUGGAGGUCUCGAGUCCGGGAGAGGUGAGUGGAACUGCGAGUGUAGAGGUGAAGUUCGUAGAUAUUCGCAAGAACACCAGUGGCGAAGGCGGCUCACUGGCCCGGAACUGACGCUGAGGUGCGAAAGCGUGGGGAGCAAAC
rnacentral:rRNA from 2 species